AAGGAUCAUUACUGAGACUGGGUGCUUCGGCGCCCGACCUCCAACCCCCUGUCUACCUUACCACUGUUGCCUCGGCGUCUCCGCCCGCCUCCCUCUCGCAGGGGGUGCUGGGCGCUGCGCCGGCGGCCAAAAACACAAAACCCUUUUUCAAACCAAGCAAUCUGAGAAAUUAUUUAAUAACUUCAAAACUUUCAACAACGGAUCUCUUGGUUCUGGCAUCGAUGAAGAACGCAGCGAAAUGCGAUAAGUAAUGUGAAUUGCAGAAUUCAGUGAAUCAUCGAAUCUUUGAACGCACAUUGCGCCCUCUGGUAUUCCGGAGGGCAUGCCUGUUCGAGCGUCAUUAUCAACCAUCAAGCUCUGCUUGGAAUUGAGCGUCACCCCCCCUCACCGGGUGGGCGCGCUUUAAACCGGUCGGCGGUGGCUCAGGCCUCUUAAGCGUUAGUAAUACUUCCCGCUUCUGGAGACUGUGGUCGCCCGCCUCCAAAACCCAACACCUCAAGGUUGACCUCGGAUCAGGUAGGGAUACCCGCUGAACUUAA
rnacentral:rRNA from 2 species